GUCCCGAGCCCAGCCUCUCCGGGGAGGAGGGACCCGGCGGCGCGGCGUGGGUCGGGAGCGGGCGCCUGGGACUACUUCUCGUUUGAAAGUUUUCAGAGGCCAAAAGUUUGAGCCGGGGCUGCGGAAGGAUCCGGCUCUGGCGGUUGCCGCGCUCGGCGACAACUGGCGACUGAAAUUUGCAUAGAAGAGAGUGGCCCAUUCGGUGUCCACCCGUCAGGCCACCCAGCAGCCAGGCACGCUCAUAAGCCCGCGUUACGGAUGGUGCGGCCGGGUGCACAGGCCCGAGGGAAGCACAGGCCUCGGCCUCCCAGCUCCCAACCCCUGCACCACCCACAGCCGGGAGUACCCCAUGGACAGCUGUGGCCGAGGAGAAGCCAGGGAUGAGGGGGAUGGGCCUCACCUCCCCACCAGCCUGGGAAGGGGGUAGGCCCCUGGCAAGUAGGAGGGAAGCUGAGGCUCAGAGACAUCAUGAGGAUGCCAGCUCAAGGCCCAGCCAGGCCUUGGUCCUCAGCUGCUGUCAUCCAGUAGGGUAAGUGGGACCCCCAGGAGGUGUUGGGGGACACUCCUCCCCUCCCCCACACUCACAGUCUGUUCACCGCCCAAGGCAGCAGGCUGGACUCGGUGCAGGGACCAUGGCUUGGCGUGGCCAGGUUGGAGUGGCCCCUGGGACUGAAAGCAGGGGGCGUGGGGGCUCUGAGGCGGGGCCGAGUGCGGGGACGUCCUGUGGCGGGUACCCUGCUGGGUCCUGGGUGGGGGCCACCACCAGGCAGCUGUGGGAACAUUCCAGACCACCUAGGAGUAGGGCCCCUUCACCGUUUGAAGCUGACUGUAAAAAACAUCUGACCUGUGUGCAAAGCUCAAGCCCAGAGGCCUCCAGGGUGUCCAGCCUCCAGGGUGCCUCCUACGCAGCCUCCACGUCCCCAUCCACUGCAGCCCCUGACCAUCGGGCACACCGUGGGGCCUUCGCUGGCCGCCGGGCCUCAGGUUCUGCUGCACCAAGUGAUUUUUAAAGCCCCAUCUGCCUUUCUCCACUUAUAAAGAACUUGGGACAUU
rnacentral:lncRNA from 1 species